CCUACGGGAGGCAGCAGUGGGGAAUAUUGCGCAAUGGGCGAAAGCCUGACGCAGCGACGCCGCGUGAGGGAUGAAGGUCUUCGGAUCGUAAACCUCUGUCAGCAGGGAAGAACGGUCACUGUGCUAAUCAGCAGUGAAUUGACGGUACCUGCAAAGGAAGCACCGGCUAACUCCGUGCCAGCAGCCGCGGUAAUACGGAGGGUGCGAGCGUUAAUCGGAAUUACUGGGCGUAAAGCGCUCGUAGGCGGUAUGUCAAGUCAAGGGGGAAAUCCCCGCGCUCAACGGGGGAACUGCCUUUGAAACUGGCAAACUGGAGUGUGUGAGAGGAUAGUGGAAGUCCAGGUGUAGGGGUGAAAUCCGUAGAUAUCUGGAGGAACAUCAGUGGCGAAGGCGACUAUCUGGCACAUAACUGACGCUGAGGAGCGAAAGCGUGGGUAGCAAACAGGAUUAGAUACCCGAGUAGUC
rnacentral:rRNA from 1 species